rnacentral:sRNA from 13 species
UGCAGCCAGACUAGAAUUAUAGAGUAAGAUGUUUUUCUGCUGGCUAAACAUGUAUGGAUUGUUUUGAGUUUUGCAAGUGCUGCUGUUGUCUAGGCAAUUCUGGCCAGUAGUUCCGGUUUUGGUUUCUUCAUCUGAGACAAAAACUCCAAGGGUCUGUUCCAUCACAUCCAGUCAAUAAAGGAAUAAUAUCUAUGAUGUCAGACAACAAUAAAGAUCCAUUUCUGUAGAAGAAGAUCUCACUACCAUGAACACUCUAGGGCUAGGGAGACAUGAACUACAUGAAGACAAUUUUGGGAUGGAGGAAACCACACAGAGACUUCAAUGGGGAACAAAAGUCAAAUGGAGUGUGUUCAAAGGACAUGAUGCCAGUAAAAUGAGAAAAUAGAGUGGAAGAGAGUCCAGAGUUUGUUUUGCUCCCGAUUCAAUAGAGAACAAAGUUAAGAUUAGCGAUGGAGAUAAAAGGAAUCUCUAAAACAAUAAUUCUUAUCAAAAUCCAACAAUC